CGUAAUCCUGUCGGUAGGAGUGCGGCAGAGGGAAUGUCAAAAUAUCGACUACGCUCGUAGAAAGUCUUGUAAACAGGUUUUCGGACAGGGGUUCGACUCCCCUCGCCUCCACCA
rnacentral:tRNA from 1 species